AUUGAACGCUGGCGGCAUGCCCUACACAUGCAAGUCGAACGGCAGCACGGGAGCAAUCCUGGUGGCGAGUGGCGAACGGGUGAGUAAUGUAUCGGAACGUGCCUUGUCGUGGGGGAUAACGUAGCGAAAGCUACGCUAAUACCGCAUACCAUCCAAGGAUGAAAGCGGGGGAUCGCAAGACCUCGCGCGACAAGAGUGGCCGAUAUCAGAUUAGGUUGUUGGUGGGGGUAAAGGCCUACCAAGCCGACGAUCUGUAGCUGGUCUGAGAGGACGACCAGCCACACUGGGACUGAGACACGGUCCCGACUCCUACGGGGGGCAGCAGUGAGGAAUAUUGGGCAAUGGGCGGAAGCCUGACCCAGCAACGCCGCGUGGAGGAUGAAGGCC
rnacentral:rRNA from 1 species